rnacentral:lncRNA from 1 species
CAAAACCAUGUACAUCAUUUGUCCUGACUUAUUUACAGUGGUUUAGAUGAACAGACUGAGACUAGCAUGUGAUGCCUUCUGAGUGGCUGGCCCUAGCAGUAGGUUUGUUUUGUUUGGUAUCUUUGAAUAUAUCAAAUGGUAUAUUGAACAGGCAUUUCCUUCCAGUAAAUAAUUGGGCAGGCAAAGCUAUUAACUUCCAACCAGGGCAUUAUUUCUGCUCUGCCCACUCUAGUUGGCUCAACAGACUGAAAAUUGUUAAGUGGUCAUUCUGUAUCAGUCCCACCUCUCUCUGCCCCAGGAUAACUUUUACGGUCACAAACAAGAAGACAGCACAAGGACUAUGGCUAACAACACAUCAUCAUCUCAACUCAACAUGAAAACCAGGGCUGGGCUGCCUGCGGGGCCCUCUGAGCAGUGCUGGGAUUUCUCUUCCCUCACAAUGAGUUAGUUCUCAUUAAUCUUCCACGAGCUCUGCUUCCACUGCAGGUGAGUUUACAAAGGCUGAGGCAGAUGCCGGUCAGGGGAGGGGCAGGACUGGAACCCGAGUCGGACCUACUCUCAAAUCCUUGCCGUUCUUCAUCACCCUCUGCAGAAUGAGUGGCUAUUGAAUCUUUUUUUUUUUUAAGGCAAUGCUUUUUGAUGAGUCCUCUCAUCUCCACCAAGACCACUCCAUCUUCAUCUGUGUCUAAGGCUUUAGUUGUGCCUGGCUGGCAACCUCAAACUCUUUGGCCACAAGCGAGAUGCAGGAAUUAAGCAAAAACAGAUCUCCAAGCAACCAAAAUAAUCAUCACACAUUGUAGGACGGAUUCAGGCACUCAAAUGCCUACAGGCAGGUUAUUGAUCAGUGCAGUUCUGCGGAACAUAAAUAUUUUGGGCACUGAAUUCUUCAUCCUGACAUGGAAAGUUAAGUUCUGAUCUUUUAAACCUGGCUGAGGAGGAAGAUUAUGGGAGAAUACAUUUCACAAAAGUACAGAGCUGAAGGGCAAAGUUUCGAAAGCCCAACUCCCAUCCAUCCAUUCUCCAGAAAUGUGGUGUCAAAAGGAGACACAAGGUAAAUGGAUUUGGGGAAAGCCUUCUGCCACUUAUUGCUUUGUCUAGAAGCACUUAAGAAAGAAUGCCACAUGCUGGGUGCCGUGGCUAAUGCCUG